GAUGAACGCUGGCGGCGUGCCUAAUACAUGCAAGUCGAGCGGACGGACGAGAAGCUUGCUUCUCUGGUGUUAGCGGCGGACGGGUGAGUAACACGUGGGUAACCUACCUAUAAGACUGGGAUAACUUCGAGAAACCGUAGCUAAUAAAGGAUAAUAUUUUGAACCGCAUGGUUCAAUAGUAAAAGACGGUCUUGCUGUCACUAAUAGAUGGAUCCGCGCUGCAUUAGCUAGUUGGUAAGGUAACGGCUUACCAAGGCAACGAUGCAUAGCCGACCUGAGAGGGUGAUCGGCAACACUGGAACUGAGACACGGUCCAGACUCCUACGGGAGGCAGCAGUAGGGAAUCUUCCGCAAUGGGCGAAAGCCUGACGGAGCAACGCCGCGUGAGUGAUGAAGGUCUUCGGAGCGUAAAACUCUGUUAUUAGGGAAGAACAUAUGUGUAAGUAACUGUGCACAUCUUGACGGUACCUAAUCAGAAAGCCCCGGCUAACUACGUG
rnacentral:rRNA from 1 species